UGGGGAAUUUUGCGCAAUGGGCGAAAGCCUGACGCAGCGACGCCGCGUGGGUGAUGAAGGCCUUCGGGUUGUAAAGCCCUGUGGGGAGGGAAGAAUAAGGGUGUUCGAAUAGGGCAUCUGAUGACGGUACCUCCUUAGCAAGCACCGGCUAACUCUGUGCCAGCAGCCGCGGUAAGACAGAGGGUGCAAACGUUGUUCGGAAUUACUGGGCGUAAAGCGCGUGUAGGCGGCCAAGCAAGUCGGGUGUGAAAGCCCUUGGCUCAACUGAGGAAGAGCACUCGAAACUGCGUGGCUUGAGUUCCGGAGAGGAUGGUGGAAUUCUCGGUGUAGAGGUGAAAUUCGUAGAUAUCGAGAGGAACACCGGUGGCGAAGGCGGCCAUCUGGACGGAAACUGACGCUGAGACGCGAAAGCAUGGGGAGCAAACAGG
rnacentral:rRNA from 1 species